rnacentral:rRNA from 1 species
UACGUAGGAUCCAAGCGUUGUCCGGAUUUACUGGGUGUAAAGGGUGCGCAGGCGGACUUGUUAGUCAGAGGUGAAAUCUCACUGCUCAACAGUGAAACUGCCUUUGAUACUGCAGGUCUGAAUCCAGAAGAGAGUUGUGGAAUUCCGAGUGUAGCAGUGAAAUGUGUAGAUAUUCGGAAGAACACCAGCGGCGAAGGCAGCAACUUGGUCUGGUAUUGACGCUCAGGCACGAAAGCAUGGGGAGCAACAGG